rnacentral:rRNA from 1 species
AGCGAACGCUGGCGGCAUGCCUAACACAUGCAAGUCGCACGGGGGGGCUUCGGCCUCCCAGUGGCGGACGGGUGAGGAACGCGUAGGGACCUGUCGAGGGGUGGGGGAUAACCGCGGGAAACUGCGGCUAAUACCGCAUGACGCCGCGGCGUGACAGCCGGGGCCAAAGGCGAAAGCCGCCCGCCGAGGGGCCUGCGUCCGAUUAGCUGGUUGGCGGGGUAGCGGCCCACCAAGGCGUCGAUCGGUAGCUGGUCUGAGAGGGUGAACAGCCACACCGGGACUGAGACACGGCCCGGACUCCUACGGGAGGCAGCAGUGGGGAAUAUUGGACAAUGGGCGCAAGCCUGAUCCAGCAAUGCCGCGUGGGUGAAGAAGGUCUUCGGAUUGUAAAGCCCUUUCGGCGGGGACGAUGGUGACGGUACCCGCAGAAGAAGCCCCGGCUAACUUCGUG